UACAGAGGUCCCAAGCGUUGUUCGGAUUCACUGGGCGUAAAGGGUGCGUAGGCGGUCGGGUAAGUCUGAUGUGAAAUCUCCAAGCUCAACUUGGAAAUGGCAUCGGAUACUAUUCGGCUCGAGGAAUGGAGGGGAGACUGGAAUACUUGGUGUAGCAGUGAAAUGCGUAGAUAUCGGGAGGAACACCAGUGGCGAAGGCGACUACCUGGCCUGUUCUUGACGCUGAGGCGCGAAAGCUAGGGGAGCAAACGGG
rnacentral:rRNA from 1 species